rnacentral:misc_RNA from 1 species
CAAGAAUGCAGCUAGAAUCGAGCCCAACAGCGAGUGCAUUUAGCCACACAAUCACCUUUGCAAUCGACAUUGUAGCCUAAAACUUUUGGAUUUCGAAGAAGCAAAUUUCUCAGAGUUUUACCUUCAAUUCCCCAUUGUUUUUCCAGAAUUUCGACAUUGGUUUUCAUUUCAUCUUCAAGGCUACAUCCAAGAACUUCUGGGAAUUUCUUGACAAGUUUAGUGAGAUCAUCAUCAGUAAGGCUUAAACUCCUUAGAUAAUCCAGUAUCUCGUUCACAACUUCUAGUCGUGGAACCUCUUUCUUCCGUUCUUCAUACCAGUAAGGCGAAUGUAUGUGGCCAAAUGCUUUUCCUAAUAUUUUGUCUUCUUCCUCUGGGCUAAAUUUUAACGCAGAAAGAGCUUGUCUGCUAUCGUUCCACGUUUUCUUCUCUUCUUCAGUUAAUACUAUAUUGUCAG